rnacentral:lncRNA from 1 species
UUUAAAAAAAGUCCUCAUUAACUCUGUUGGGAAUAUGCUUUAUGUUUUGGUUGAUGGUUAAACUGAGACUUGACUAUGAGUUGUAUGUUUUGCCCAUCACUGCCUUGGUAUUAAUUCACCAUUGAAGCACUGAAGAAACUAUAAAUUGCUUCAUUCCAGUAAGGAGGCAAUGAAGAAACUAUAAAUUAUUUUCACUAAUAACUUCAAAAAUAUUCUGAGAUUCUUAUACAUUGUUGUAUUUAUAUGAUUGCUUCUUAGCCUAUUCCUUUGUUGUCAAAACCAGCAGUCCCAAUGCCCCUACGAGUACAUACUGCAAGGAAAAAAGAACGAAUUAACAUUCAAAUGUUAACUUUUAUACAAUAUUAGCUUUCCUUCAAAAAAAAAAAAAUACAAUAUUAGCUACCAAAGAAAAAAUAUGUAGUGACAAAAGUAGAAGGAGAAUGUUGCUGAGCAAAGAAAACCAAAAGGAAAACUUUGUUUGCUAGAAGUGAAAAAGUGUAUAGUAUUUAGGUAGAUAGACAUGGCCUACUUGAAUUGACUUAUUUGAGCAUAUAUAUUGACAUAAGUCUUGUGAGACUGUUUGUCAGAACUUAUGUCAAAAAAACUUACGACAUUUUUCAUAAGCUUUUUUCAGCUUAUUUUUAAAAGAUCCCCAAGAUAUAAAAAUAACUUAUAGCAUAUACAAAAACAAUAUAAUUUCAUUUUAUUUUCUAUAAAAAUAGUUUAUGUGAGCUUAUACGUAAACGUUUAUCAUGAUAAGCGCUUGCGCUAUAAGCUGCAAAUAAGCUAUUUAUCCAAACAGGGUCGCCUGAAAUUUAUAUACUGCUUACAUAUUAAAACGAAAAUUGCAGUCACCUACAAAGUCGCGUUCUUUUAGUUUUAGUCCAUGUUAAAUUUUAAUAGUAAUUUUAGUCCUCCAUAAUAUUGCAGUUUGUAAGAAUAGUCCCUAUUUUGAAAAUAAUUUACAAAAAAUGGAUAUUUUUAGUCCCCAAAUUAGUUCCUAUAAAACGCAAUAUGGACA